rnacentral:rRNA from 1 species
UCGAGCGGUAGCACAGAGAGCUUGCUCUCGGGUGACGAGCGGCGGACGGGUGAGUAAUGUCUGGGAAACUGCCUGAUGGAGGGGGAUAACUACUGGAAACGGUAGCUAAUACCGCAUAAUGUCGCAAGACCAAAGUGGGGGACCUUCGGGCCUCAUGCCAUCAGAUGUGCCCAGAUGGGAUUAGCUAGUAGGUGGGGUAACGGCUCACCUAGGCGACGAUCCCUAGCUGGUCUGAGAGGAUGACCAGCCACACUGGAACUGAGACACGGUCCAGACUCCUACGGGAGGCAGCAGUGGGGAAUAUUGCACAAUGGGCGCAAGCCUGAUGCAGCCAUGCCGCGUGUGUGAAGAAGGCCUUCGGGUUGUAAAGCACUUUCAGCGGGGAGGAAGGCGGUGAGGUUAAUAACCUUGUCGAUUGACGUUACCCGCAGAAGAAGCACCGGCUAACUCCGUGCCAGCAGCCGCGGUAAUACGAGGGUGCAAGCGUUAAUCGGAAUUACUGGGCGUAAAGCGCACGCAGGCGGUCUGUCAAGUCGGAUGUGAAAUCCCCGGGCUCAACCUGGGAACUGCAUUCGAAACUGGCAGGCUAGAGUCUUGUAGAGGGGGGUAGAAUUCCAGGUGUAGCGGUGAAAUGCGUAGAGAUCUGGAGGAAAUACCGGUGGCGAAGGCGGCCCCCUGGACAAAGACUGACGCUCAGGUGCGAAAGCGUGGGGAGCAAACAGGAUUAGAUACCCUGGUAGUCCACGCCGUAAACGAUGUCGAUUUGGAGGUUGUGCCCUUGAGGCGUGGCUUCCGGAGCUAACGUGUUAAAUCGACCGCCUGGGGAGUACGGCCGCAAGGUUAAAACUCAAAUGAAUUGACGGGGGCCCGCACAAGCGGUGGAGCAUGUGGUUUAAUUCGAUGCAACGCGAAGAACCUUACCUGGUCUUGACAUCCACAGAACUUUCCAGAGAUGGAUUGGUGCCUUCGGGAACUGUGAGACAGGUGCUGCAUGGCUGUCGUCAGCUCGUGUUGUGAAAUGUUGGGUUAAGUCCCGCAACGAGCGCAACCCUUAUCCUUUGUUGCCAGCGGUUCGGCCGGGAACUCAAAGGAGACUGCCAGUGAUAAACUGGAGGAAGGUGGGGAUGACGUCAAGUCAUCAUGGCCCUUACGACCAGGGCUACACACGUGCUACAAUGGCAUAUACAAAGAGAAGCGACCUCGCGAGAGCAAGCGGACCUCAUAAAGUAUGUCGUAGUCCGGAUUGGAGUCUGCAACUCGACUCCAUGAAGUCGGAAUCGCUAGUAAUCGUAGAUCAGAAUGCUACGGUGAAUACGUUCCCGGGCCUUGUACACACCGCCCGUCACACCAUGGGAGUGGGUUGCAAAAG